rnacentral:rRNA from 1 species
GGGUUGUGAGGUUAAGCGACUAAGCGUACACGGUGGAUGCCCUGGCAGUCAGAGGCGAUGAAGGACGUGCUAAUCUGCGAAAAGCGUCGGUAAGGUGAUAUGAACCGUUAUAACCGGCGAUGUCCGAAUGGGGAAACCCAGUGCAAUUCGUUGCACUAUCGUUAACUGAAUACAUAGGUUAACGAGGCGAACCGGGGGAACUGAAACAUCUAAGUACCCCGAGGAAAAGAAAUCAACCGAGAUUCCCCCAGUAGCGGCGAGCGAACGGGGAGCAGCCCAGAGUCUGAAUCAGCUUGUGUGUUAGUGGAACGGUCUGGAAAGUCCGACGGUACAGGGUGAUAGUCCCGUACACCAAAAUGCACAGGCUGUGAACUCGAAGAGUAGGGCGGGACACGUGGUAUCCUGUCUGAAUAUGGGGGGACCAUCCUCCAAGGCUAAAUACUCCUGACUGACCGAUAGUGAACCAGUACCGUGAGGGAAAGGCGAAAAGAACCCCGGCGAGGGGAGUGAAAAAGAACCUGAAACCGUGUACGUACAAGCAGUGGGAGCACCUUCGGGUGUGACUGCGUACCUUUUGUAUAAUGGGUCAGCGACUUAUAUUCUGUAGCAAGGUUAACCGUAUAGGGGAGCCGCAGGGAAACCGAGUCUUAACUGGGCGUUAAGUUGCAGGGUAUAGACCCGAAACCCGGUGAUCUAGCCAUGGGCAGGUUGAAGGUUGGGUAACACUAACUGGAGGACCGAACCGACUAAUGUUGAAAAAUUAGCGGAUGACUUGUGGCUGGGGGUGAAAGGCCAAUCAAACCGGGAGAUAGCUGGUUCUCCCCGAAAGCUAUUUAGGUAGCGCCUCGUGAAUUCAUCUUCGGGGUAGAGCACUGUUUCGGCUAGGGGGUCAUCCCGACUUACCAACCCGAUGCAAACUACGAAUACCGAAGAAUGUUAUCACGGGAGACACACGGCGGGUGCUAACGUCCGUCGUGAAGAGGGAAACAACCCAGACCGCCAGCUAAGGUCCCAAAGUCAUGGUUAAGUGGGAAACGAUGUGGGAAGGCACAGACAGCCAGGAUGUUGGCUUAGAAGCAGCCAUCAUUUAAAGAAAGCGUAAUAGCUCACUGGUCGAGUCGGCCUGCGCGGAAGAUGUAACGGGGCUAAACCAUGCACCGAAGCUGCGGCAGCGACACUAUGUGUUGUUGGGUAGGGGAGCGUUCUGUAAGCCUGCGAAGGUGACCUGUGAGGGUUGCUGGAGGUAUCAGAAGUGCGAAUGCUGACAUAAGUAACGAUAAAGCGGGUGAAAAGCCCGCUCGCCGGAAGACCAAGGGUUCCUGUCCAACGUUAAUCGGGGCAGGGUGAGUCGACCCCUAAGGCGAGGCCGAAAGGCGUAGUCGAUGGGAAACAGGUUAAUAUUCCUGUACUUGGUGUUACUGCGAAGGGGGGACGGAGAAGGCUAUGUUAGCCGGGCGACGGUUGUCCCGGUUUAAGCAUGUAGGCUGGUUAUCCAGGCAAAUCCGGAUAAUCAAGGCUGAGGUGUGAUGACGAGGCACUACGGUGCUGAAGUAACAAAUGCCCUGCUUCCAGGAAAAGCCUCUAAGCAUCAGGUAACAUCAAAUCGUACCCCAAACCGACACAGGUGGUCAGGUAGAGAAUACCAAGGCGCUUGAGAGAACUCGGGUGAAGGAACUAGGCAAAAUGGUGCCGUAACUUCGGGAGAAGGCACGCUGGUGUGUAGGUGAAGUCCCUGCGGAUGGAGCUGAGACCAGUCGAAGAUACCAGCUGGCUGCAACUGUUUAUUAAAAACACAGCACUGUGCAAACACGAAAGUGGACGUAUACGGUGUGACGCCUGCCCGGUGCCGGAAGGUUAAUUGAUGGGGUUAUCCGUAAGGAGAAGCUCUUGAUCGAAGCCCCGGUAAACGGCGGCCGUAACUAUAACGGUCCUAAGGUAGCGAAAUUCCUUGUCGGGUAAGUUCCGACCUGCACGAAUGGCGUAAUGAUGGCCAGGCUGUCUCCACCCGAGACUCAGUGAAAUUGAACUCGCUGUGAAGAUGCAGUGUACCCGCGGCAAGACGGAAAGACCCCGUGAACCUUUACUAUAGCUUGACACUGAACAUUGAGCCUUGAUGUGUAGGAUAGGUGGGAGGCUUUGAAGCGUGGACGCCAGUCUGCGUGGAGCCAACCUUGAAAUACCACCCUUUAAUGUUUGAUGUUCUAACGUUGGCCCCUUACCGGGGUUGCGGACAGUGUCUGGUGGGUAGUUUGACUGGGGCGGUCUCCUCCCAAAGCGUAACGGAGGAGCACGAAGGUUAGCUAAUCCUGGUCGGACAUCAGGAGGUUAGUGCAAUGGCAUAAGCUAGCUUGACUGCGAGCGUGACGGCGCGAGCAGGUGCGAAAGCAGGUCAUAGUGAUCCGGUGGUUCUGAAUGGAAGGGCCAUCGCUCAACGGAUAAAAGGUACUCCGGGGAUAACAGGCUGAUACCGCCCAAGAGUUCAUAUCGACGGCGGUGUUUGGCACCUCGAUGUCGGCUCAUCACAUCCUGGGGCUGAAGUAGGUCCCAAGGGUAUGGCUGUUCGCCAUUUAAAGUGGUACGCGAGCUGGGUUUAGAACGUCGUGAGACAGUUCGGUCCCUAUCUGCCGUGGGCGCUGGAGAAUUGAGGGGGGCUGCUCCUAGUACGAGAGGACCGGAGUGGACGCAUCACUGGUGUUCGGGUUGUCAUGCCAAUGGCACUGCCCGGUAGCUAAAUGCGGAAGAGAUAAGUGCUGAAAGCAUCUAAGCACGAAACUUGCCCCGAGAUGAGUUCUCCCUGAGACUUUAAGUCUCCUGAAGGAACGUUAAAGACGAUGACGUUGAUAGGCCGGGUGUGUAAGCGCAGCGAUGCGUUGAGCUAACCGGUACUAAUGAACCGUGAGGCUUAACCUUACAACGCCGAAG